rnacentral:sRNA from 1 species
AAUGAUACCUUUUUCAGGCCUGACAGUUGUCAACAAUGUACCGACGUGGCCGACUCAUUCAAGAAGUGCAGCGAUCAUGAGCUGUCCGUUGCUUGGGACAAGUGCUACUGGAUACUGGACACUCCCAGUUUCAUUAGAUGCAUCUCCAAAGACUAUCCAGACACAUCCUCGGAAUCGCAUCUUUCCUAUUUCGCAACGUGUAUUGAACACUACUGUGAUGGGUUCCAUCAGUGCGAUGAGCUGCGCAAGUGUUCCUGUCACAACGACCACCUGGACAACAUCCUCAGCUC